GACGUAGGGGACGAGCGUUGUCCGGAUUCAUUGGGCGUAAAGCGCGCGUAGGCGGUUUGGUAAGUCGGUUGUGAAAACCAGAGGCUCAACCUCGGGUCUGCAGUCGAUACGAGCAAACUAGAGUGUUGCAGGGGAGACUGGAAUUCCUGGUGUAGCGGUGAAAUGCGCAGAUAUCAGGAGGAACACCGGUGGCGAAGGCGGUUCUCUGGGCAUUACCUGACGCUGAGGAGCGAAAGCGUGGGGAGCGAACAGG
rnacentral:rRNA from 1 species